rnacentral:siRNA from 1 species
AGGCAGCACAAAAUUCACACGAAC